rnacentral:rRNA from 1 species
CCUACGGGCUCAGCAGUGGGGAAUAUUGGACAAUGGGCGAAAGCCUGAUCCAGCCAUGCCGCGUGUGUGAAGAAGGCCUUCGGGUUGUAAAGCACUUUCAGUGGGGAAGAAAGCCUUGGGGCUAAUACCCUCGAGGAAGGACAUCACCCACAGAAGAAGCACCGGCUAACUCCGUGCCAGCAGCCGCGGUAAUACGGAGGGUGCGAGCGUUAAUCGGAAUUACUGGGCGUAAAGCGCGCGUAGGCGGUCUGAUAAGCCGGUUGUGAAAGCCCCGGGCUCAACCUGGGAACGGCAUCCGGAACUGUCAGGCUAGAGUGCAGGAGAGGAAGGUAGAAUUCCCGGUGUAGCGGUGAAAUGCGUAGAGAUCGGGAGGAAUACCAGUGGCGAAGGCGGCCUUCUGGACUGACACUGACGCUGAGGUGCGAAAGCGUGGGUAGCAAACAGGAUUAGAUACCCCUGUAGUC